rnacentral:lncRNA from 1 species
GCACCAACAACUUUCUUUGUUUGAAAUUUUUUUUUCUAGUUUACAUCUUAACUCUAAUUCAGAUCGCAUUCGAAUUAGACAGGGGAUAAGAUUAUGACUUAUCAAUCAUUUCCACCCACCCUUAUUGGGUCAACUAUUUUGACACCAAAAAGAUCAAGCCAAAUCUAAUUUGGCAUGCAGAUGUGGGCAUAAGUCCAAGUGUGGCGCA